rnacentral:rRNA from 1 species
UACAGAGGUCUCAAGCGUUGUUCGGAUUUACUGGGCGUAAAGGGCGCGUAGGCGGCCGAUCAAGUCAGGCGUGAAAGCCCCGGGCUCAACCUGGGAAUGGCGCUUGGGACUGGUUGGCUUGAGUUCGGGAGAGGAGAGUGGAAUUCCCAGUGUAGAGGUGAAAUUCGUAGAUAUUGGGAAGAACACCGGUGGCGAAGGCGGCUCUCUGGACCGAGACUGACGCUGAGGCGCGAAAGCGUGGGGAGCAAACAGG